CUACACGAAGCUGGAAUCGCUAGUAAUCGCGGAUCAGAAUGCCGCGGUGAAUACGUUCCCGGGUCUUGUACACACCGCCCGUCACACCAUGGGAGUCGGUAACGCCCGAAGCCAGUGACCCAACCUUAGGGAGGGAGCUGUCGAAGGCGGGACGGAUAACUGGGGUGAAGUCGUAACAAGGUAAC
rnacentral:rRNA from 1 species